UACGGGGGGGGUAAGCGUUGUUCGGAAUUACUGGGCGUAAAGGGCUCGUAGGCGGCCAACUAAGUCAUACGUGAAAUCCCAAAGCUUAACUUUGGUGCUGCCUUUGAUACUGCAAGUCUGGAGUUUGAGAGAGGGUAAUGGAAUAUCUGGUGUAGCAGUGAAAUGCGUAGAUAUCAGAUAGAACACCAAUGGCGAAGGCAGUUACCUGGCUCAAUACUGACGCUAAAGCACGAAAGUGUGGGGAGCAAACAGG
rnacentral:rRNA from 1 species